ACUAUUUGUUAGGUCCGAUUGGUA
rnacentral:siRNA from 1 species